AUUGAACGCUGGCAGCAGGCCUAACACAUGCAAGUCGAACGGUAGCACAGAGAGCUUGCUCUCGGGUGACGAGUGGCGGACGGGUGAGUAACGUCUGGGAAACUGCCCGAUGGAGGGGGAUAACUACUGGAAACGGUAGCUAAUAACGCAUAACGUCGCAAGACCAAAGUGGGGUACCUUCGGGCCUCACACCAUCGGAGGUGCCCAGAUGGGAUUAGCUAUUAGGUGGGGUAAUGGCUCACCUAGGCGACGAUCCGUAGCUGGUCUGAGAGGAUGACCAGCCACACUGGAACUGAGACACGGUCCAGACUCCUACGGGAGGCAGCAGUGGGGAAUAUUGCACAAUGGGCGCAAGACUGAUGCAGCCAUGCCGCGUGUAUGAAGAAGGCCUUCGGGUUGUAAAGUACUUUCAGCGGGGAGGAAGGCGGUGAAGUUAAUAGCUUCACCGAUUGACGUUACCCGCAGAAGAAGCACCGGCUAACUCCGUGCCAGCCGCCGCAGUAA
rnacentral:rRNA from 1 species